GCGUGCGGGGGACGCCGGGGACAGGAAGACACUGUCUGUACCCACCGCACAGCUGUGACCGCGAAGUAGGGGUUCCCUCUCGGAAGCGUCUGUGUCGGGAUGUGUACCUGGCGCGUGCGCCUCAAAUGCGGUUGAGAAUCUGAAGCCCUGGGGACUUAGGGCCGCAGUUGGGAAACAGAUCCAAGCUGGUGGUAGGUGUGUCUGCAGAGUAACUCUGGGGACAGGAGAGUGGAUCUUCGGUGUGGGUGGAGACCCACACAGGGCCUCAUUGCCCUGGGGCACCUGCCCCAAGCUGAACCCCCUGCUCUGUGUCCCUCCGGGCCCUCUUGGGCCCAGGCCGCAAGCCGCGGUGACCAACCGUCUUGGUUGCCCGGCUUCUGUGCUGACCUGGACCAUCCUGGGCCCUCGGACAUCGUCAGUCACCCCAACAAGGCUCACGUGGGCGUCCAGCCUCCAGUGGGGUCUGGCCUCGACCCUCUGAAAUAUCCUUUCUGCAAAUGGUGGAGACUGGGGACGCCCGCUCUGCUCCUCUCCCGUGCGUGGGAGCCACACGGCCCAGCUGUUGCAGGCGGGGUCCCAGCUCCACUCCCCAAGUGGGAGAGUUAGUCUCUGCAGAGAACAUGUUUUGUUGAUCACCUCAGGUGUUACUAAUGGUUACGAUUGCUGGCUGCUUGGGAGUCUGUUGUUGGUGGGGGGGACCCCCCCGCUUUCCGCCGCACCUUCUGGGGAUUCUCUGGAUGGCCUGGCAGUCCUGGCUCCGUUUCCUCCCAGCUUGGGGAGAAGCGUUUCAGCCUUGAGCUUCUGCCCCUAAAUCUGGCGAACGUCUUGCCCGAGCAGGUGGAGGUGCUGUCGGUCCCGUGUCGGUCCACACGCAGCACCCGUGAGCCCUGCUCUCAAAGGCUGCAGGGGAGCCACCCUUGAGCUCAGCACUUUCCUGACUCCUGGUGGCCCCAUGACAGGGCUGCACGCGUGGGGCUUACCGUACCGGAAAUCUACCCUGUGCCGGCUCUGGAGGCCACAGGCCCUUGGGCACGGUGUCUGUGCAGGGCCCUGCUGUCUCUGGAGGCUCCGGGGGAGGGCCUGCCUGCCCCUUCCCGCUGGGGAGUUCUGGGGGCCUCUGUGCCCCACCUGCAGUCGGCCUGGGUGUGUGUCCCGAUCUAACUCUCCUUACAGAGACACUACCCGUGGGUCAGGGCCCCCACUCCAGUGUGACUCAUCAUAACCAAUUCUACCGGCAAGGGUCCUGCUUCUGAGCAAGACUGCAUCCUGGGGACACCGUCAGCAGGAAUUAUGUGAUGCAUCCGAUUUGAUCCCCUCCUGGUAGGUCAGCCUAGCACGAUUCCAGCGUCGUGGGAGAGUGGCUCCCGGCUGCUCUUCCGGAUUCCUGCUUCCGCCCGUCACACUUCCCUCCCCACCACAUCCCUUCCGCCACCGGACCCCAAUGUCCCAGCACUGGGAGUCUGCAUUUCUUUUGUUACCUUCACAGUGUUGACACAAUACGCUUACUUUAUUUCCAUCAUUUUCUGACAAAGGGAAGCAUAGGGGACACAUUCUGGGUCCUGCUCGCCACCUGCCUCCCCUGUAACGGCGCUUGCAGUGCUGCGUGUAGCUGAGCGCGAUAAGCAGAAUUCUGGGCUUUUUACAGAUGAAGGCAGACAGCAAGAGGGGCUGAUAUUUAUUCAAACUCCAUCCAUACAAUAAAGAACUCUGAUUUUUUAAAUUUCAUUUACAUCAGCAAUAAAAAAAAAAAGACCCCAAACCAAACAAAAAGCAAUGACUGAAACACGAGGUUUUAAAGUGCCUUUAUGAGGAAGAGAUUACAAUGGUGGGGGGGUGUUGGGCGAGGCGGCUGGGGCGGUCUCUGCACAGUCAGCGCACUGAGUAAAUCGGGGGGCACUGAGGAAAGCUGCUGAGUCUUGCACGGCUGUUUUCUCUAACGCACCGCAGGGGCAGCCAGGGUGGGGGCUCGCGUGUGGCCAGGAGCAGGCUGCGGUGGGCGUGGGACUCAGGGAGGGCAGUAAAGUGACGGUUUCCAGCAUCGCGGAGGCCGCGUGCGUCCCUAACACGGGACACCAAUGCACACACAUCCACGUAAGCAUACGUAGAAAGAGAUCCGCCCCCACCAGAUACACAAAGUGUUUCCGGAGAACAGAGUUUGUUUGAGAAACACAAAAAGGUAAACCAGAAGAGUUUUCUUUCCAGUUCUGCCUCGAUUUCAGUGAUGAGCUCUGCAACCUUUACGUUUCUGAGUUCAGGGGGACUUGCCCGAGCCUGGGAGGCAGCAGCGGAGGCCGGCACAGGUGCCAGGGCUGGAGCUUUCACUGAGCCCUGUGUGGGCACCGGUUCAGGUGGUACCCCGCGGAAACUGCAUCUUUAUGUAUUCUUUAAAAACGAUAAAAAAUCCUAAUUCAGUGAAGCUAGUUAAAAAAAUCAAGUUCCCCAUUUUUGUAGAAAAGAAACUAAAUAUUUUAAAUUAUAGUUUAAAUUUUCUUUUGAAAAUUAACCUACACAGAUAAAGGACUCUCCUUGGUUUCUACUACUCCUGUUUGUAGAAGCAUUGCUGGAUUUUAUCGAGGGAUGCGUUUUCAACUGCCGGUGACCAGGCCGGCCUUGGAGAGGGCUUUGGUCCCCAAGAGAGAGCCCUCAAAUCUCCAGCAGUAUAAACAACGCGCUGCAGUGUAAACCCCGGUAACAGAAAAUAGUUUUGUAUCAAAUACAGUAUUAAAUUGUCAUUUCAUGUAAACACAGUGAUUCUUGGUAAAGAUUAGCGGCCAAAGUACCACAAAAAAUGGCCAUGGAAUUAAUCCCUGCUUUCUUGUAAAAAUCAAAAAGUCCU